GAUGAACGCUGGCGGCGUGCUUAACACAUGCAAGUCGAACGAAGCGCUUUGGAUGGAUUUCUUCGGAUUGAUAUCCUUAGUGACUGAGUGGCGGACGGGUGAGUAACGCGUGGGUAACCUGCCUCAUACAGGGGGAUAACAGUUAGAAAUGGCUGCUAAUACCGCAUAAGACCACAGCACCGCAUGGUGCAGGGGUAAAAACUCCGGUGGUACAGGAUGGACCCGCGUCUGAUUAGCUGGUUGGUGAGGUAACGGCUCACCAAGGCGACGAUCAGUAGCCGGCUUGAGAGAGUGAACGGCCACAUUGGGACUGAGACACGGCCCAAACUCCUACGGGAGGCAGCAGUGGGGAAUAUUGCACAAUGGGGGAAACCCUGAUGCAGCGACGCCGCGUGAGUGAAGAAGUAUCUCGGUAUGUAAAGCUCUAUCAGCAGGGAAGAAAAUGACGGUACCUGACUAAGAAGCCCCGGCUAACUACGUGCCAGCAGCCGCGGUAAAACGUAGGUCACAAGCGUUGUCCGGAAUUACUGGGUGUAAAGGGAGCGCAGGCGGGAAGACAAGUUGGAAGUGAAAUCUAUGGGCUCAACCCAUAAACUGCUUUCAAAACUGUUUUUCUUGAGUAGUGCAGAGGUAGGCGGAAUUCCCGGUGUAGCGGUGGAAUGCGUAGAUAUCGGGAGGAACACCAGUGGCGAAGGCGGCCUACUGGGCACCAACUGACGCUGAGGCUCGAAAGUGUGGGUAGCAAACAGGAUUAGAUA
rnacentral:rRNA from 1 species